CUUUGACCCCAACAUAGUUAUGUUAUUUUGAUCUUCUUUGAGGAUGAAGGACCACAACCAGCUUCAGAUAUGAAUGAGUUUUGUGAGAUGCAUACUCUCCCUAAUUAUGAUAAAUAGGUCUAAAGAAAAGGGCAAGAUGGCUCUCUGCUAAGUACACCAUAUUCAAACUAUUGGGUAUGAGACCUUCCCCAUGGACACCACUGGAAAGAGAACAAUUGGGCCUUCGUCAAAUAGUCAGCCAAUGGAAAGAGGCUGCUCCCAAUGACCUGGUGGGCCAACAGGAAUGUCCUCUCCCAGAAAGAGGUCCCCGUUGUCUCUCCAAGGAGUGCCUCCACCUUAAGUGAUCCAGUGAGAAGACUGGAUUAAAGGGGCCUGGAGUCUCUCCUGACCCGAAAACUAUAAUCCUAUGGAAGAUCAGAGAAAACCUCCAAGAAGAGGAUAAAUUUGUGCUGGGCUUUGAAGAAUGGAUAGAAUUUGGAUCAGUAUAGUAUACUUGAUUUCAGGCAAGGAAAUUGCACAAAUGAAAGGAGAGUAGAUCUUGUUCCUAGAAAAGGUUAAUUUAGGAAAUUAUAAAAUUGUUUGUAUAUAACAACUAUGGUCCUUACCCUUAAACCAGGGAGAUAUAAAACAGAGAAUGAAAACUGUAGACCACUAACUGUAGACUAUCAAACUAUUGAAUAUCACCUUAGAGAUUACAGCAUUAUAUUAAAAAAUAUUGUAUUAUUCGCUGUAAUCAGAUUGGAUUUAUUCCAGGAAUGAUAGCAGACCUUAUGAAUAAUAAAAACAAUAAAAAUCAUAUGUUUAUAUCAAUAAAUAUAAAAAAAAGUUUUUGAAAAAAUACAAUACUUGUGCUUUGACAAAAUGACACUAGAAUUUCAGGAAUAAAUGGUAAGAAAUCUGUUUAAAAACAAGAAGUAGCAUUAUCUGUAAUGGACACUAGAGACCUUUCCAGUAAGAUUAAGGGUUAAUCAAAGAUGCUUUUCAUCACCAAUAUUAUUUAAUAUAGCCCUAGAAAUGCUAGGCAUAGUAGUAUUAUGAGAAAAAAUGGAAAGUGUAAGAUAGGCAAAAAGAAAACAAAAUUAUCACUAUUUGCAGAUGAUAUGAUAUUCUAUUUAGAGGAUUGUAAAAAUUAAACUAAAGUUAAUUGAAAUAAUUUGUAACAUCAGUAAAGUAGAAGGGUGCAGAGACCCAUGUUUAUCUUAAUUCCCUCAUCUAUAAAAUGAGCUGGAGAAGGAAGUGACAAAUCCUUCAGUAUAUUUACCAAGAAAUUCCAAAUCGGGUUGCUGAAGCGCCUGAACAACAAAAGAUGGAUAUAAAAUAAAUCCACAAAUCCACCUUGUUGCAAAUUGCCAACAAAACCCAGUGGAAAGAGCUUUUCAAAAAGAAAUUCCAUUGAAAAAAAUCUACAGAUUGUACAAAAAAAUUUUGGAGGCUACUUAUCAAAAUAUACAUAAGAUUUAGUUGAAUACAACUUCUCAACAUAUGCACAAAACUUAUUAUAAAAAUAAAAUAAUUGGAAGUAUAUGAAUUGUUCCUCUUUAGGCCUAGUCAAUAUAAUAGAAAUGAUGAUACAGCCUAGAUUAAUUAAAAUAUUUAUUACCAUACCAAUCAAACUACUCAAGGGCUAUUUUAAUCAUUAGACAUUUAGUCAUAAUAGUGAUGAAAUUCAACUGGGGUAAAAAAAACAAAAUCACGAUUAUCAAGGGAAAUAAUGAAAAAAUAAGUAGAGAGACAUAUUAGAUUUCAAGUUAUAUUGCAAAGCAGAACUCAUCAAAACUAGAAAUAUAAAUAGAAAAGGUGGUCCAUGGAAUAUAUUAGGUUCAUAGGAACAUAUUAAGUGAUCAGUGGAACAUAUUAGGACUCCAAAAUGUUUAAACAUAGAUAGUAACAACAGGUUUGAUAGAUAGAAGAUUGAAAUUUUUAGGUAUGAGCUCCUGAUUUAACAAAAACUGAUGUAAACUCUGAAAGCAGUAUGAAAGAAAUCAGACGUUUUGUCACAACUAGUCCUAAAGGAAUACAUGGCCAAAUAUACAAGAUAAUAAUGUGUUAAAGAAAAUAGAAGAAAAUUGAAUGAAAUAACUUUUGUAAUUGUGGUUUGAAGGUAGUAUUUUUACCUAAAAAAGCCACAGAGAUAAUUAUUAAAGAUAAAAUAGACAAUUUCAAUAAUGUAAAAUUGAAAAAAAAAACCCAACAACCUUCUGCAUGAGCAGAAUUAAUGUAUUUAGAAUCAAGAGGGAAAUUAUUGGUUGGGAAAAAAAAUCUUCCCAACAGAUUUCUCUAAGGAAAAUCUACUAAAGAAUUAAUACAUAUAAGAAAAUAAGUAUACUACUUUAUAGACUAUAGACUUUAAAGUAUAGGCUAUAUCUUUAUACUAUAUAGUAGAAAGAUAAGUUCUCAAAUGAAGAAAUUCAUGCUAUCAACUUUUAUGAAAAAAAUGCUCCAAAUCGCCAAUCAUAAGAUUAAUACAAAUUAAAACAGUUCUUAGAUUCUAUCCCACAUCUAUCUAAUUAGCAAAGACAUCAAAAAUGGAAAAUAGAAAUUGUUAGAGGGGUUCAAGGAGGAUAGGCACAGUAACAACAUUAGUGAAGCUGUGUAUGAUCCCCAAAUUCCAAAGAGCAAUUUUUAAAAGUACAUUAGAAGUCACUAAACUGUGCAUGCACUUUGAUCUAGCAGUACUACUAUUAAGCAUGCUUUUUUAGGAGUGCAAAGAAAUGAGGAAAGGAACGACUUGCACAGAGAUAUUUAUAGCAGCAUUUUUGUUAUCGCAAAGAACUAGAAAUAAAGUAGAUACCUAUCACUUGAAGACUAAGCAAAUUAUGGAAUAUAAAUGUAAAUAUAAUGUCUUAAUAAAUGAUGCUUAUAAGGAUUCAGAGAAAUCUGGAAACACUUAUAUGAAAUGAUACAAAAUGAAGUGAGCAGAACAAAUUGAGAGAGGCCAGGUGAAAGAAGUAUUUGAAAGCUAAAAAGAGUUUAGACUUGGAGAUUUAAAAAAAAGAAAGAAAGAGAGAGAGAAUCAUUUUCUGGUAUCAAUUUGUUUGUGUGGGAGAUGGAAAGAACCCAAAAUUAGGGAAGCCAGGUGGUUGAAUUAGCCAGGACAAGAUGGCCUGUUGCCAUAAUGUAAGUAAUGAGAGACACAUCUUUAGGGAAAAAUUGACAGGAUCUCUUGAAUAGUUAAACCAAUGUCAUUCAAUCCUAUAGCAAAAUGCCAAGAAGUCAAGUGAGUGCUGUCAAGAUAGUAAUGUCCAUGAGCCCAUUACACUAGGUCAAGGAUUGUGUUUGGGGAUAAACAGCCUGAUCUUCGUGAUGAGAUGAGUUCAGGGGCAAGAGGUAAGAAGGUAAAAAUUCAGGACUAGUCGAGGAAUAGACCUGAAGCAUGGUAUGAUACAUAGAAAAUAGGCAGGAAUAAAUGAUCAAAGACUAAAUUGGUCAUAAGAUUUCAAUCCAUUAGAUACAAUUAUUAAAAUUAUUAUUGUUAUUAUUAUCUUAUCCAAUAAGAUAAAGUCCAUUAGAUGUAAGCUCCUUGAGGGCAAAGACUGUUUCUUUUUAUACAUUAUAUCUUCAUCAUUUAGCCUGGCACAUAGUGGACACUUAAUAAACAUUUACUGGAUUUUAUUAAGUGACCCUAUGCCUAUUGCUUGACAUAGGUUUGUUUGACAUAGGUGUUGGCAACCAUGUGAAAAGAGCACUGGGUUCUUAUAUUAUUUCUGUCACUUUCAACCUGUAUGACCUUAAACAAAUCAUUAUCUUUGUGGGCUUCAAUUUCCAUAUCUGAAAAAAAUGAGCUGAUCACUAAGAUAAUUUCUAGUUCCAAAAUUAUGACUACAUUUCAUUUCUAUUCUUGACUCCCCCCUUCCACCCCAUUUCAAAGAGUGAAUUCAGUUGAAUUAAAUUUGUUUCUGGUCUAUCCUGGGGAAUAUUGUCAAAUCAACUAAAAACAAUUACUCAUGGGCUCCAAGAAUUGGAGAAUAACUCUUAUAAAUGUCUAUCUCAUUACAGAAGAUUUAGAAUAUGGAAUACACAGUAAGGAAAUACUGUUCUAGAUUGAGUUUUAUUCACAAAAAGUGAAUUCUCAUUCCUAAAUAUGGAGUAUCAUCCAGAGUUUUAAAAAUCUUUGACAAUAGGAAGAAAAUAGCAAUUAUCCUAAGGAAAAUCUCCCAAAGAGUUAUUGUGAAAGUAGCAGCUAGUGUAUAACAUGAAUUUUUUUCCAUAUAAAGCAGGUAGGCUUUUGGGAAAUAUUCUCAGGUCUUAAAAAAACAACACACAAUCCAAACCCAGUUAUGAAUGAAACAUUCACUGAUGCAUGGAUUAACCAAGAAACCCAUCCUGUCAGGUAUAUGGCACAGUGACUAGAGCACUAGACUUGGAAUCAGAAAGACUUGAAUUCAAAUCUCAGUUUCAGAUACUUACUACAUAAGUGACUCCAAACAAGACAUUUCACCUGUCUGAUUCAAUUUUCUCAAUUAUAAAACAGGAAUAAUAAUAAUAGCACCUAUCUCUCAGAGUGGUAGGAAGAUAUUAUUUAUAAAGUAUAUGGAAAGCACAUAGUAGCUGCUUAAUAAAUGUUUGUUCCAUUCCUUCCCUUUCCCCCACAAGAUUUUAUUGACUUCCCUGAGAAAGCGCAAGUGAAAAUGUAUUCUUUCUCCUCAAAAUUUUCACAGCAUAUUUUUGUUCAUUUGUUUGUUUCUGCCAGUCUUCUUCUUUACAUUUACCUCAAUAUAUCUGUAUCAUAGUAAGCCCUUUGUAUUUUAAAUUCAUUGAGAAGAUACAUGGGUUGUAAAUCUCUUUGUAUUUCUGUUAGCUAUUAUGGUAUUCUGCACAUAGAAGGUGAUUAAUAAAUGUUUUUGAAUUGAAUUGAAUUGAAAGAAAUUGAUGGUGUCUGGCCUAUCCUGGGGAAUAUUGAAAAAUCAACUAAAAACAAACUUGUACAGAGUAAGGAGAUUAGUACUUAACUAUCCUCUAUCUUUUUUCUCUUUCUCAUGAAGAUAGUACCCAAGUAGAUGUUGUAUCACAGGAAUCUAUUUACAUUCAAGUAUUUUGUAAGUGCAAGGGAUAAGUGUUCACUUUUUAGUUUUUAUUUUUCACAUGAAAGAUCAGAAUAUUUGUAAAUGUAUGCCUCCAGAUUUUCUAAAUAAAAAAAUAAAUUCCUAAAAAUUUCUAAAUAUGAAGUAAUUCAGCAUCUACAGUAUGUUCAAUGUAAUUAGUUUUUUACCAUGCAGGGGAAAUUAUUUGUGAAAUUAUUCCCUUCCUCGAGAAUAGAAGAAUAGGUUUACUAUGAUGGCUAUCUUAAGAGAGAAAGUGAUAUCCCAA
ensembl:lncRNA